CAAGUAAGCUGGACAGCCACGGGGCGAAGUCGAAAGGCCCGCCCUGAGGAAAGUCCGGGCUCCACAGGGUAAGAAUAACGGGUAACACCCGCCGGGGGCGACCCUAGGAAAAGUGCAACAGAGAGAUACCGCCCUGCCGUCGCUUGUGCCGACAGGGUAAGGGUGGAAAGGCGGAGGUAAGAGCCCGCCCGAUGGCUGGGAACAGUCCAUCGCUGUAAACUCUAUUCGGAGCAACACCGUGGGAGUACACAAGGCUGACC
rnacentral:RNase_P_RNA from 1 species